CUUAAUCCAACAUCGAGGUCGCAAACCCCCCUGCCGAUAAGAACUCUCAAGGGAGAUAACGCUGUUAUCCCUAAGGUAAUUUAAUCUUACAAUCAAAAUAAAUGGAUCAAGCAAAUAUAAAUAAAUAUAACAACACAAAGGAGGGGUUAAAUAAUAUCCCUCCCAUCACCCCAACAAAACAUAUUAAACAGCCCUAGUGAACCCUCACAAACAGAAAGAGACCAUAAUAAAUGUCAAACUCUAUAGGGUCUUCUCGUCCCAUAAAAACAUCUAAGAAUUUUAACUCAAAGACCAAAUUCAAUAAACAAUUCAAAAUUAAGACAGCUUAUGCCUCGUCAAGCCAUUCAUACCAGAUCACAAUUAAAGAACUAAUGACUAUGCUACCUUUGCACGGUCAAAAUACCGCGGCCCUUCAACAUUCAAGGUCAGUGGGCAGGCCAUACUUCAAAAACUAA
rnacentral:rRNA from 3 species